rnacentral:rRNA from 1 species
AUGUUUAUUUGCUGUCCAAAAAGUUCUCUCACGUCACUUUUGGCCCAAGAGAAGAUAGAGUCCAAGUCUCUCACGUUCUGGAUUCAGAUUCGGACUGCACAGACACACCUGACUCAAAACGCACACAAGUUUUUCAUACGGACUCCGAAUUGGGUGAUUCUUUUUUUGUUGGAAACUAGAUUUCGUGCACUUUCCAACCCAAUUGGAAUCACCUUCAAAUUCUUCCGGAGCGUUGAGUUGUGGACGAAACAAUCUGAUGCUGCAGCAGAAUCCGAGUCAAACUACAAGUCCAAAGGUGUUACAUCACCUCCACUUGGGCCCAUUGGCCUUGUACGACCUAGAUUUAGUUUUAGGCUGCCUUGGGACGUCCUCCCACCUCCUUGGCCGCCACCCCUUGCUCCUAUAUAA